AACCUACGGGACGCAGCAGUGGGGAAUAUUGCGCAAUGGACGAAAGUCUGACGCAGCGACGCCGCGUGAGGGAUGAAGGUUUUCGGAUCGUAAACCUCUGUCAGGAGGGAAGAAAGCGCAUGGCGCCAAUCAGCCAUGCGUUGACGGUACCUCCAAAGGAAGCGCCGGCUAACUCCGUGCCAGCAGCCGCGGUAAUACGUAGGUGGCGAGCGUUAUCCGGAUUUACUGGGUGUAAAGGGCGUGUAGGCGGGCUUGCAAGUCAGAUGUGAAAACUAUGGGCUCAACCCAUAGCCUGCAUUUGAAAC
rnacentral:rRNA from 1 species